UUAAGUUCAGCGGGUAUCCCUACCUGAUCCGAGGUCAACCUGAAAAAAAUUGGGGGUUGCUGGCGAGCACACACCCGGACCUCCAGAGCGAGAAGAAUUACUACGCUUAGAGCCAGACGGCACCGCCACUGAUUUUAAGGGCCGCGAGACCGCGGGACCCCAAGACCAAGCCGAGGCUUGAGUGGUUAUAAUGACGCUCG
rnacentral:misc_RNA from 1 species